rnacentral:rRNA from 1 species
GUCGAACGCUGGCGGCGUGCCUAAUACAUGCAAGUAGGACGGAGUUGCGAACGGGUGAGUAACGUGUACGUAACUACCUAUUAGAGGGGGAUAACUAUUAGAAACGAUAGCAAAUUCCGCAUACUAGUAGUUGGCCCGUCGGUGUAUUAGUUAGUAGGUAGGGUAAUGGCCUAUCUAGGCACCGAUACAUAGCCUACCUGGGAGGGUGAGUGGCCACACUGGUAAUGGGACACGGUCCAGACUCCUACGGGAGGCAGCCGUAGGGAAUCUUCGGAAAUGGGGGGAACCCUUAACGAGCAACUGCGCGUGAGUGAAGAAGGUUUUCGGAGCGUAAAGCUCUGUUCUGAAGGAAGCGGUACUGACCCAGAAAGGGACGGCUAACUACGUGCCAGCAGCCGCGGUAAUUC